AAUACUUUCUGAAGGCACUGUAUUUCCUGGCCCUGGCUGUGUUUACAGUGUGUUGAUGCAGCCUCAGCCUUCAAGUACUGCGGUUGAGUAUUUCCAUGUGAGCUGAUAGAACUCCCUAAUGUCUCUCUGUCUGGUGUUUUUCUUUCUCUCCCUUGUUUUCUUUGGACUGGUUCUGUGGUGUGUGUGUGUGUGUGUGUGUGUGUGUGUGUGUGUGUGUGUGUGUGUGUGUGUGUGUGUGUGUGUGUGUGUGUGUGUGUGUGUGUGUGUGUGUGUGUGUGUGUGUGUGUGUGUGUGUGUGUGUGUGUGUGUGUGUGUGUGUGUGUGUGUGUGUGUGUUACGUGCGCAUACCUGGUAGUGCUUUUCAACUUUGAAAGUAUUGCAAUACUGUAAGGUCUUUGGUUUUUGUCAGCAGUAGCCCUGUGUUUGAGCUCCAUGUGACAUCCUGUAAUACACGUGCCUUGUAGGGGCUUUACUGUUUUCAUAACUCUCUCACUCUGGCACUCUGGGUCAUAUGGAGCUCAUUAAUGUGCGGAGGGCUGCUUGAGAGAGCUAUAGUGCAUAGAAAUAUUGUGGCUAGACCUGCUAGGACUUUCUACCAUAUGUUGGCCUAUGCGUAUGGAAUGCAUAUAGAUCAGAGCCUGUGCUGUCUCACAAAAGCUCAGUCGUCGAGCCCCACGUCUGGAGACAACCCCUUGGGAAAAAUACCAGAGAGAGCUCAAGUUUCUUAGAGAGGAAAGACAGAGAAGAAGCUUUCGGACCACACGCAGAGUUAAAGAGGAGAUAAAAGAGACACAGAGUGGUUCUGACUGGGCCCAGAGUGAAAGAAGGAACAGAAGGUCCAGUUCAUUUACCACAAGCUACGUCUGGUUUCCUAUCCAGGGCUGACCAGGACCACCCCUUCUUAGCUUCAAAGGCAAAGCUGCAGUGGGAUGCCUCUGUGUUAUGUUGCUGGAAUGAAUAUGUUGAAACUUGCAACUGGCAAAAAAGGCAGCGAAUGCAAAGGCCAGGGUAACAACCAAACAUAGGAGAAUUGCAAGAAAGAGGGAGGCAUUUUAUUUAAUUGCGUUAUCAGAAAAGUAAAAAUAAAUCACUGAAAGAAACAUUUUUGCAUCCAUCUACAAUUCAUUUGUUCUCGCAUUGAACAAUUAUUUCCUCGUAAUAUUUUGUUUUGCUAUCAAUACUUUUGGGUUCAUGUUUAAAUUUCAAUAUCAUUCUUGUUUGUAGUACUAAGAAUUUUGUUCUCGACUUCAGAAGUUUUGCUUAAUAUUAAUGGCACAAAAGUAACUCACUCACUAGAGGAUUGCACCAUACAAUAACACUAUUACUAAACGUGUUUAAAGCAGCUAUCCUUAAUUGAAACAUGAACAAAGUGUCUUCGCCACAGUUUCAGUAAAAAUCUAAGAGAUGGGGCUGGAGAAAUGAAACCACUCUCAAAUCUAUAAAGUGCGCUAUGGAUUCAAGGACUGACCAUUUAUGAUAUCAAAAUUAUAUUUCAAACCAUGUUUUUAGGCUAUACAGUGUUUGUUUAGAUGUACUUUGUUCACAAACAUUGGGUUAUAUGGGGAAGUUUUCUUACAUGUGAAACUGAACAUUUGAUUUUCCAUGUGGUAUUGCAAGUUCACAUGUGAAAAACAAUCACGUGAAAGUUUUUCACAUGUGAAACUGCUAAUUAGAUAUUUACAUAUGGAGUUUUCUUACCUGCAAAUUUGAUUUUUUCAAAUGUGAUAGAUACAAUUUUAUUAUGAUUUGAAUCAGUUACAUGCUUCGUAAACAACAGGUGUAGACUAACAGUAAAAUGCUAACUUAAGGGUCCUUCCAAACACUGCAGAGAGAAAAAAAUGAAAAAAAUAAUUGGAAAAAAAUAACACGAGGAAUAAAUCUAAUCAAAUCAAAUCAAAUUGUCUUGGUCACAUACACAUGGUUAGCAGAUGUUAAUGCGAGUGUAGCAAAAUGCUUGUGCUUCUAGUUCCGACCAUUCAGUAAUAACCAACAAGUAAUCUAACUAACAAUUCCAAAACUACUGUCUUAUACACAGUGUAAGGGGAUAAAGAAUAUGUACAUAAAGAUAUAUGAAUGAGUGAUGGUACAGAGCAGCAUAGGCAAGAUACAGUAGAUGGUAUCGAGUACAGUAUAUACAUAUGAAAUGAGUAUGUAAACAAAGUGGCAUAGUUAAAGUGGCUAGUGAUACAUGUAUUACAUAAGAAUGCAGUAGAUGAUAUAGAGUACAGUAUAUACGUAUGCAUAUGAGAUGAAUAAUGUAGGGUAUGUAAACAUUAUAUUAGGUAGCAUUGUUUAAAGUGGCUUGUGAUAUAUUUGACAUCAUUUCCCAUCAAUUCCCAUUAUUAAAGUGGCUGGAGUUGAGUCAGUGUCAGUGUGUUGGCAGCAGCCACUCAAUGUUUGUGGUGGCUGUUUAACAGUCUGAUGGCCUUGAGAUAGAAGCUGUUUAGUUAAAGUGACUAGAUAACUGGAUAGAUAAUAAACAGUAGCAUCAGCGAAUGUGAUGAGUCAAAAUAGUUAGAGCAAAAAGGGUCAAUGUAGAUAGUCUGGGUAGCUAUUUGGUAAACCAUUUAGCAGUCUUAUGGCUUGGGGGUCACAAGCUGGUUAGUUUCCUGAUGAUUCCAGACUUCGGGACCACUUGCCAUAUGGUAGCAGAGAGAACAGUCUAUGACUUGGGUGGUUGGAGUAUUUUGCAAUUGUUAGGGCCUUCCUCUGACACCGUCUGGUAUAGAAGUCUUGGAUAGCAAGGAGCUCAGUCUCAGUGAUGGGCCUUAUGCACUACCCUCUGUAACGCUUGCUGUCAGAUGCCAAGCAGAUGCCAUACCACAUGGUGAUGCAGCCAGUCAAGAUGCUGUCAAUGGUAUAACUUUUUGAGGAUCUGAGCUACCAUGACAAAUCUUUUCAGCCUCCAGCGGGGGAAGAGGUAUUGUCGUGCUUUCUUCACAACUGUGUUGAUGUGAGCGGACCAUGUUAAUUCCUUAAUGAUGUGGACACCGAGGAACUUGAAGCUCUUGACCUGCACCACUAUGGCCCCGUCGAAGUGGACGUGCUUUUCUCUUUGAUUCCUGUAGUCCACGAUCAGCUCUUUUGUCUUGAAGAUGUUGAGAGAGAGGUUGUUGUCCUGGCACCACACUAUCAGGUCACUGACCUUCUCCCUAUACGCUGUCUCGUCGUCGUCGGUGAUCAGGCCUACCACCGUUGUGUCAUCAGCAAACAUAAUGAAGGUGUGAACGCUGAGCUGUAGUCAGUGAACAAGGUUCCUCUUGUCCAGGUGGGAGAGGGCAAUGUGGAAUGCAACAGAGAAUAUGUCCUCUGUGGAUCUGUUGGGGCGGUAAGCGAACUGGACUGAGUCCAGGGUGUCUGGGAUGAUGGUGUUGAUAUGAGCCAUGACCAGCCUUUCCACGAAUGUCAUGGCUACAGAUGUGACUGCUACAGGGCAAUAUUCAUUUAGACAGGUUACCUUGGCGUUCUUGGGCACAGGAACUAUGAUGGUCUGCUUGAAACAUGCUUCUGGUUGGGAUAUGUGCACACGGGCACUGUGGGGAUGACGUCGUCGAUGCACUUAUUCAUGAAUCCUGGAACAUAUUCCAGUCUGUGCUAGCGAAACA